rnacentral:rRNA from 1 species
CGCGUAGGCGGACUGCCAAGUCGGAUGUGAAACCUUGCAGCUUAACUGCAAGCCUGCAUUCGAAACUGGCGGUCUUGAGUACAGUAGAGGAAAGCGGAAUUCCAGGUGUAGCGGUGAAAUGCGUAGAUAUCUGGAAGAACACCAGUAGCGAAGGCGGCUUCCUGGGCUGAUACUGACGCUGAAGCGCGAAGGCUUGGGUAGCAAACA